rnacentral:rRNA from 1 species
AUUGAACGCUGGCGGCAGGCCUAACACAUGCCAGUCGAACGGUAACAGAAAGCAGCUUGCUGCUUUGCUGACGAGUGGCGGACGGGUGAGUAAUGUCUGGGAAACUGCCUGAUGGAGGGGGAUAACUACUGGAAACGGUAGCUAAUACCGCAUAACGUCGCAAGACCAAAGAGGGGGACCUUCGGGCCUCUUGCCAUCGGAUGUGCCCAGAUGGGAUUAGCUAGUAGGUGGGGUAACGGCUCACCUAGGCGACGAUCCCUAGCUGGUCUGAGAGGAUGACCAGCCACACUGGAACUGAGACACGGUCCAGACUCCUACGGGAGGCAGCAGUGGGGAAUAUUGCACAAUGGGCGCAAGCCUGAUGCAGCCAUGCCGCGUGUAUGAAGAAGGCCUUCGGGUUGUAAAGUACUUUCAGCGGGGAGGAAGGGAGUAAAGUUAAUACCUUUGCUCAUUGACGUUACCCGCAGAAGAAGCACCGGCUAACUCCGUG